rnacentral:rRNA from 2 species
UGCAGUCGACGAUGAAGCCCUGCUUGCAGGGUGGAUUAGUGGCGAACGGGUGAGUAACACGUGAGUAACCUGCCCCCGACUUUGGGAUAAGCCCGGGAAACUGGGUCUAAUACCGGAUAUGACUUCUUACCGCAUGGUGGGUUGUUGAAAGAUUUAUCGGUGGGGGAUGGACUCGCGGCCUAUCAGCUUGUUGGUGAGGUAAUGGCUCACCAAGGCGACGACGGGUAGCCGGCCUGAGAGGGUGACCGGCCACACUGGGACUGAGACACGGCCCAGACUCCUACGGGAGGCAGCAGUGGGGAAUAUUGCACAAUGGGCGAAAGCCUGAUGCAGCGACGCCGCGUGAGGGAUGACGGCCUUCGGGUUGUAAACCUCUUUCAGUAGGGAAGAAGCGAAAGUGACGGUACCUGCAGAAGAAGCGCCGGCUAACUACGUGCCAGCAGCCGCGGUAAUACGUAGGGCGCAAGCGUUAUCCGGAUUUUAUUUGGGCGUAAAGAGCUCGUAGGCGGUUUGUCGCGUCUGCCGUGAAAGUCCGAGGCUCAACCUCGGAUCUGCGGUGGGUACGGGCAGACUAGAGUGAUGUAGGGGAGACUGGAAUUCCUGGUGUAGCGGUGAAAUGCGCAGAUAUCAGGAGGAACACCGAUGGCGAAGGCAGGUCUCUGGGCAUUUACUGACGCUGAGGAGCGAAAGCAUGGGGAGCGAACAGGAUUAGAUACCCUGGUAGUCCAUGCCGUAAACGUUGGGCACUAGGUGUGGGGGACAUUCCACGUUUUCCGCGCCGUAGCUAACGCAUUAAGUGCCCCGCCUGGGGAGUACGGCCGCAAGGCUAAAACUCAAAGGAAUUGACGGGGGCCCGCACAAGCGGCGGAGCAUGCGGAUUAUUUCGAUGCAACGCGAAGACCCUUACCAAGGCUUGACAUGUGCCAGACCGGGAUCAGAGAUGGUCUUUCCCUUCGGGGCUGGUUCACCAGGUGGUGCAUGGUUGUCGUCAGCUCGUGUCGUGAGAUGUUGGGUUAAGUCCCGCAACGAGCGCAACCCUCGUUCCAUGUUGCCAGCACGUAGUGGUGGGGACUCAUGGGAGACUGCCGGGGUCAACUCGGAGGAAGGUGGGGAUGACGUCAAAUCAUCAUGCCCCUUAUGUCUUGGGCUUCACGCAUGCUACAAUGGCCGGUACAAUGGGUUGCGAUACUGUGAGGUGGAGCUAAUCCCUAAAAGCCGGUCUCAGUUCGGAUUGGGGUCUGCAACUCGACCCCAUGAAGUCGGAGUCGCUAGUAAUCGCAGAUCAGCAACGCUGCGGUGAAUACGUUCCCGGGCCUUGUACACACCGCCCGUCAAGUCACGAAAGUUGGUAACACCCGAAGCCGAUGGCCUAACCACCUUGUGUGGGGGGAGUCGUCGAAGGUGGGACUGGCGAUUGGGACUAAGUCGAACAAGAGCC